UACGUAGGGUGCAAGCGUUAAUCGGAAUUACUGGGCGUAAAGCGUGCGCAGGCGGCUAUGCAAGACAGAUGUGAAAUCCCCGGGCUCAACCUGGGAACUGCAUUUGUGACUGCAUGGCUAGAGUACGGUAGAGGGGGAUGGAAUUCCGCGUGUAGCAGGUGAAAUGCGUAGAUAUGCGGAGGAACACCGAUGGCGAAGGCAAUCCCCUGGACCUGUG
rnacentral:rRNA from 1 species